AGGACGAACGCUGGCGGCGUGCCUAAUACAUGCAAGUCGAACGGUCUUUCUAUGGAAGCUUGCUUCCACUGAGAAGAUAGUGGCGAACGGGUGAGUAACACGUGGGUAACCUGCCCAUAAGAGGGGGAUAACAUCCGGAAACGGGUGCUAAUACCGCAUAGUUUUCUUGAUCGCAUGAUUGAGAAAGGAAAGACGGCCUUUGUGCUGUCGCUUAUGGAUGGACCCGCGGCGUAUUAGUUAGUUGGUGAGGUAGCGGCUCACCAAGACGAUGAUACGUAGCCGACCUGAGAGGGUGAUCGGCCACAUUGGGACUGAGACACGGCCCAAACUCCUACGGGAGGCAGCAGUAGGGAAUCUUCCGCAAUGGACGAAAGUCUGACGGAGCAACGCCGCGUGAGUGAAAGAAGGUUUUCGGAUCGUAAAACUCUGUUGUCAGAGAAGAACAAGUUGGAGAGUAACUGCUCCAGCCUUGACGGUAUCUGACCAGAAAGCCACGGCUAACUACGUGCCAGCCGCCGC
rnacentral:rRNA from 1 species